AGUGAACGCUGGCGGUAGGCCUAACACAUGCAAGUCGAACGGCAGCACAGUAAGAGCUUGCUCUUACGGGUGGCGAGUGGCGGACGGGUGAGGAGUACAUCGGAAUCUACUUUUUCGUGGGGGAUAACGUAGGGAAACUUACGCUAAUACCGCAUACGACCUACGGGUGAAGGCAGGGGAUCUUCGGACCUUGCGCGAUUGAAUGAGCCGAUGUCGGAUUAGCUAGUUGGCGGGGUAAAGGCCCACCAAGGCGACGAUCCGUAGCUGGUCUGAGAGGAUGAUCAGCCACACUGGAACUGAGACACGGUCCAGACUCCUACGGGAGGCAGCAGUGGGGAAUAUUGGACAAUGGGCGCAAGCCUGAUCCAGCCAUACCGCGUGGGUGAAGAAGGCCUUCGGGUUGUAAAGCCCUUUUGUUGGGAAAGAAAAGCAGCAGGUUAAUACCCCGCUGUUCUGACGGUACCCAAAGAAUAAGCACCGGCUAACUUCGUG
rnacentral:rRNA from 1 species